CCCUUAGAUGUUCUGGGCCGCACGCGUGCUACACUGAGUAAAUCAAUGGGUAAGGGAACGCGAAAGUGCAACCUAAUCUUGAAAUUUGCUCGUGAUGGGGAUCGACGGUUGCAAUUUUCCGUCGUGAACGAGGAAUACCUUGUAGGCGCGUGUCAUCAUCACGCGCCGAAUACGUCCCUGCCCUUUGUACACACCGCCCGUCGCUCCUACCGAUUGAGUGAUCCGGUGAGGCUCUGGGACCUGGACGGAAAGAGCGUUUCGCUUGUUCUGUUUGGGAAACUUGGUCGAACCUUAUCAUUUAGAGGAAGGAGAAGUCGUAACA
rnacentral:rRNA from 1 species